CAGCCGCCGCGGUAAUACGGAGGGGGCUAGCGUUGUUCGGAUUUACUGGGCGUAAAGCGCACGUAGGCGGAGAUUUAAGUCAGGGGUGAAAUCCCAAGGCUCAACCUUGGAACUGCCUUUGAUACUGUUAGUCUUGAGUUCGAGAGAGGUGAGUGGAACUGCGAGUGUAGAGGUGAAAUUCGUAGAUAUUCGCAAGAACACCAGUGGCGAAGGCGGCUCACUGGCUCGAAACUGACGCUGAGGCACGAAAGCGUGGGGAGCAAACAGGAUUAGAUACCCGCGUAGUCCCUGUCUCUUAUAC
rnacentral:rRNA from 1 species